UACAACAGUUGGUGACAUGACCUGCCACCAAAGACCACCAUCCAAUGUUAUGCCACAUAUAUAUGUCUGGUUUAUUUUAUAUUCCAGUUUCCCUGCAGGAAAUGCACAUACCAAGUUCAAUGAAGUUGGAUUAAAAUGAGUUUUAUGUAUAAAUUCAAACACUGAAACAGUUCUGUGUUUUAACAGUGAAUUUGUUUUCACUAUUAAUUCUACAGAGACACCAGAUACAUCUCAUGCCAGUCAAGGCACCACACACAGAGGACUUCAGCAGUCAAUUUAGGGUCUUUACCUUAGUGUGAGGCAGCGGAAGCAAACCCUCUACCGCCAGAAUGACAGCAGCAAGUUUCGCCACCGCCUUCGAAGGAAGCUGUCAGAAGACAAAAAGCUCCUCCUUCAGGAGAUCCAGAAAUACAAUGGUCUUGUACAAGACUCUGCCACAAACAUAAAUGUAGCUACUGUGGAGCAUUCCCUUAAUGGAGAGAGCAAUGUGUCUCAAAUAUGGCCAUGGGAGGUUCAUGGUAGUGCCAACAUUUCAAUCAAGAAACAAUUGCAUGACCAAGUGAUGUUGGCGAUGCGACUGCAAGAGGAAAAAAGCAUUUUGGUAUUGGAGAUGGCACAACACUGCACAUGGUUGCAGAGCCUGGCAGUGGUUCUCAAGAACAAGAUGGCUGAGGAGGACAUGGGAAAUGAGGGACUUUGCUGUCUCUUAAGAAGACGACUUUCAGAGGUGUCAGAACGGUUGCAAGUUGUCCUCCAACAGUACAAGACUGCUUUAGGUCCUGAGGCCUCUGUCCUUCUACAUGUUGAAGCAGAAGAUCCAAGUGGCCUCAGUAGUCCAGACACCAGUGAGGAUGAAGAGGAAAACACAGUUUAGAUGGAAGAUACACAAAGGACUGUGUUGAAGGAAAUGGACUCGCCCUAUAUCUGUAUAUUAUUAGUAUGCUGAUUGAUUAAACACAUCAAAAUAUGUAUGCAUCCUAAAUUGUUGAAAAUUCAAACUUUGUUGACAAUUUAUCCGU